CAGGACGCCUCCACCUGAGGGCAGUAUAAGCAGAGUAAGUAUCCAAUAAAUCGUAUGAUGGGUAGUACAAAAAAUAAACGUAGUAAAAUAAAUUCUUAAGAUUACCGAUUGAAUUAAAAAAAAAUGUAAUUCUUAUAUUACAAAUUCAACAAAAUUUAGCUACUUUUUUAUUGUUCAUGGUUUCCAUCUGCUUAUACUGCCCUCAAGUGGAGGCGUCCUGAAGCUGGAUUUGGCUUGAAAUGCCGUUCCCUAAAGAAAAUAACAAUAGACUUGUUUCGUAUAGUUUGAUCUAUGGAGUGAUCAGUGAUAAUGUUGAGAGAUCAAAUAAUUAAUAAUAAAGUUUAAAGGUUAUAAGAUGAGAGGCAGUUUUUGUAAAUGGAAAAAGAGAAAACAAGUACUUGAAAGUGUCGUCUAAACAAAAUUUGUAGGAAAUGAGGACCCAAAAAAUCAAGAGCCUUAUAAAACGCGAGGGUCCAUUGACAUCGUCGCUCUUAAAAAGUAACUCUCUCCUGAAGAUUUUGUCAUUUCUAGCUUAUUGACCAACAUUUCAACUGAAAGUGUAUCUACAGUUGAAGAUCUCAAUAGCAAUAAGGUUGGUGUUGAAUUGGAAGAAUGUCUAGCAGCUAACACCUCACACUUAACAGGGAAAAGGCAAACAGAGUUUGUCAAAACAGGUAUUCCUGAACCAAGACAAACAAGUACACCGCCAACACCAAUUUUCAACAGUGAAGGCUGCCUAGUAUUCAGCAAAUUUGAUUUAGGAGAACUAUCUAAUCCCUCACCCAUUCUGAACAAGACCACUUUAGAUUCAAAAGUGGCAACAAAAAAAAACUCAAAGCCAAAGUUAAAAUCUUGGAUGGCCAAGCUGAAGUUGAGAAUGCGAGAAGUAUUGAAGAGAAACGGGCAUGAAAAGGUGCCCUGCAAAUAGCCGAAGUAUUUCAGGUAAAAAAACAAUGUGGAAUUACUUGCUAAAUCUAUUAAGAAACAAGAUGAAAUCAAAUCAGAUAGUAAAAAGAAGUUGGCUGAACGCAUUGAAGAAUAGGAAAAGAGAAAGGAAUAACAACAGAAAACGAAAAAACCCAACAUUAAGAAAAAGAAAACUGAAAAGAAAGAACAUAAUCCGAAUGAACACCUCACACUUUACAGGGAAAAAGCUGUAAUUGUCUGAUAAGACAACGAAAAUCAAACUUAAACGGAAGACUAGCAAGUACACUGCCAACAACAAUUUUUAACAGUGAAGGCUGUCUAGUUUCCAGCAAAUUUGAUUUUGGAGAACUUUCUAAUUCCCCACCCAUUCUGGAAACGACCACUUUAGAUCCAAAGUGGCAACGAUUAAAAUGAAAGAAAAUAAAAUUUAAACCCAAGAUGAAAAUCUUAGUAGGCCAAGCUGAAGUUGAGAAUGCAAGAAGCAUUGAAGAGAAACAGGCAUGAAAUGGUGCUCUGCAAAUAGCUGAAGGUUUUCAGGUAAAAAAACAAUGUGGAAUUACUUGCUAAAUCUAUUAAGAAACAAGAUGAAAUCAAAUCAGAUAGUAAAAAGAAGUUGGCUGAACGCAUUGAAGAAUAGGAAAAGAGAAAGGAAUAACAACAGAAAACGAAAAAACCCAACAUUAAGAAAAAGAAAACUGAAAAGAAAGAACAUAAUCCGAAUGAACACCUCACACUUUACAGGGAAAAAGCUGUAAUUGUCUGAUAAGACAACGAAAAUCAAACUUAAACGGAAGACUAGCAAGUACACUGCCAACAACAAUUUUUAACAGUGAAGGCUGUCUAGUUUCCAGCAAAUUUGAUUUUGGAGAACUUUCUAAUUCCCCACCCAUUCUGGAAACGACCACUUUAGAUCCAAAGUGGCAACGAUUAAAAUGAAAGAAAAUAAAAUUUAAACCCAAGAUGAAAAUCUUAGUAGGCCAAGCUGAAGUUGAGAAUGCAAGAAGCAUUGAAGAGAAACAGGCAUGAAAUGGUGCUCUGCAAAUAGCUGAAGGUUUUCAGGUAAAAGACUAUGUGGAAUUGCUUGCCAAAUCAAUUAAUGAACGAGAUCAAAUCAGAAAGUCACAUAAAUUGCGCCGAACGAAUCGAAGAAAAGGAAAAGAGAAAAGAAUAACAACAGAAAAAGAGAAAAGCCAGCAUGUAGAAAAAGAAAACUGAAAAGAAAGAACAUAAAGUGAAUAAACUAAAGAAAAGAGGCAAAUUUGUCGUAUGAAAGACUGAAACUGACUCAUGGAUGAGCUAAACUCGUGUUCUUUUAUGUGCAGCUAUGCGUGAUAGUUUUUUAGAAAAAUACACUGGCAUGCCUUCCAUGAUCGUGGAAAA